rnacentral:lncRNA from 1 species
GAAAACGUAGUGAAAAGCACAAAGAAGCCGACCACAAAUGCGAGGAAAUAGCAACGACGACGAUGGAAGUCCUGGUGGGCGCCAUCACCAUCAAGUAAGCCUUCUUCUUCAAUGGCAUCGAACUCUUUCCAUGGCUUGCGACCCUUGCGAGAUCCGUCGUGCUUACGCUGUGGUUUCAUGGAUCCAGACAAGCGGGUUGAAGAAGACUCACGCGAGGAAUGAGGGCCUAAUGAAGAGUUGGAGUGAGAGUGAGGAGGUGAGCCCAUGGGGCUGAGCACCGGUGUGGAGUGGAAUGAGUUUGUGGUCUUUUCACCAUCAUGAGAGUC